GAUCCGCCACACGGGGACUGAGAUAUGGUCCCGAGCCCUACGGGGUUUAGCAUGGAGGAAUCUUGCGCAAUGGGCGAAAGCCCGACGCAGCGACGCCGCGUGGGGGAUGAAGGCCUUCGGGUUGUAAACCCCUUUUCUGGGGGACGAAAUUGACGGUACCCCAGGAAGAAGCCACGGCUAACAGGGUGCCAGCAGCCGCGGUAAUACCUUGGUGGCAAACGUUAUCCGGAAUCACUGGGCGUAAAGCGCUCGUAGGCGGCUUGGUAGGUGUUCGGUGAAAGCCCCCGGCUCACCCGGGGAGGGUCCGAGCAAACCAUCAGGCUAGAGGCAGGCAGAGGACCGUGGAACGUCCGGGGGAGUAGUGGAAUGCGUAGAUCCCGGACGGAACACCAGAGGCGAAGGCGGCGGUCUGGGCCUGUCCUGACGCUGAGGGGCGAAAGCGCGGGGAGCAAACAGGAUUAGAUACCCUGGUAGUCCGCGCCGUAAACGAUGGACGCUAGGUGUGUGGGGGGCUCAACCCCCCUGCGUGCCGGAGCUAACGCGGUAAGCGUCCCGCCUGGGGACUACGGUCGCAAGACUAAAACUCAAAGGAAUUGACGGGUGCCCGCACAAGCAGCGGAGCGUGUGGUUCAAUUCGAGGCUACGCGAAGAACCUUACCGGGGUUUGACAUUACACGGCUAUCCCGCGAAAUCGGGAGUUCCUUCGGGACCGUGUAACAGGUGCUGCAUGGCUGUCGUCAGCUCGUGCCGUGAGGUGUUGGGUUAAGUCCCGCAACGAGCGCAACCCUCGACGCUAGUUGUAUAUGUCUAGCGUGACUGCCGCGGACAACGCGGAGGAAGGUGGGGAUGAUGUCAAGUCCGCAUGGCCCUUAUAUCCCGGGCUACACACACGCUACAAUGGCCAGUACAACGGGCAGCAACCUGGCGACAGGAAGCGAAUCCCUAAAAGCUGGUCUCAGUUCGGAUUGCAGGCUGCAACUCGCCUGCAUGAAGUCGGAGUUGCUAGUAACCGCAGGUCAGCACACUGCGGUGAAUACGUUCCCGGGCGUUGUACACACCGCCCGUCACGCCAUGAAAGUCGGCAACACCUGAAGCCGGUGAGCUAACCCUUGGGAAGCAGCCGUCGAGGGUGGGGUUGGCGAUUGGGGCGAAGUCGUAACAAGGUAGCCGUAGCGGAAGCUGCGGCUGGAUCACCUCCUUU
rnacentral:rRNA from 1 species